rnacentral:rRNA from 1 species
UGGGGAAUUUUGGACAAUGGGCGCAAGCCUGAUCCAGCAAUGCCGCGUGUGUGAAGAAGGCCUUCGGGUUGUAAAGCACUUUUGGCGGGAACGAAACGGCUGGCCCUAAUACGGCUGGCUAAUGACGGUACCCGCAGAAUAAGCACCGGCUAACUACGUGCCAGCAGCCGCGGUAAUACGUAGGGUGCAAGCGUUAAUCGGAAUUACUGGGCGUAAAGCGUGCGCAGGCGGUUGUGUAAGACAGAUGUGAAAUGCCCGGGCUUAACCUGGGAACUGCAUUUGUGACUGCACGGCUAGAAUCUGGCAGAGGGGGGUAGAAUUCCACGUGUAGCAGUGAAAUGCGUAGAUAUGUGGAGGAACACCGAUGGCGAAGGCAGCCCCCUGGGCCAAGAUUGACGCUCAUGCACGAAAGCGUGGGGAGCAAACAGG